UGUGAUGUGCACUAAACCAAUGGCUUCAAACAGGAUCUCUUUUCUUUGGGUUAUUGUCUUCUUUCUUUGUGUGUUCAUUUCUUGUGCUAGGGCAACAUCACUAGUUCCACCUGGUGCUUCUGGCCAUGCAAGUUCAUAUAAACAAGUUCAGAACAGAAGGGUACUUGGUCGCGGCACAGACCCUGCAGCUCCGUGUUGUCACAACUAUCAUGUAUGAUGAUGAUGGUGUUGUUAUGUUGCAGUUGGAAUAAUAUAAGUGUCAAGAACUAAGCAUAAAUUAAAUAUAUUAUGCUUAUAUGUUGUGUUGCAUUAAUUGGUAUGCAAUGUGAAGUGAAAUCAUGUUUAAGGAGGUGUUCAUGAUCUCUAAACUAAACUUGCUUUUGUAAGUGAAAAAUGAGAUCUUACAUAUUCAAAAAUUGUUUAUUGUUGUU